rnacentral:misc_RNA from 1 species
GAAUGCCCUUUGGGGCUUAUCCAACCAACCUCUGUGAACCGUGGCCUUCGGGCCUUUACAAACAUUGAACGUAAAGAACGUAGCAAACCUAUAACAAAACAAAACUUUCAACAACGGAUCUCUUGGCUCU